AAAUUCGUCGGGGGUCUUCCGGUCACAUUACAUCAAGCAAGAGGAACAUGGAGCGUAUGUCUGAUUACAGACGCAUGGCUCAGUCUGUGCAGACUAAACUCGAAUUUUGUUUACCCAUAUUGUUUGAUGGACGCUAGAAGAUUAUACAUUGAAAACUGUAGUGAGUGAACGUCAACUAAUCCCGAUUAUGUAAUUUGGCAAGGAACUCAGUAAAAAGGCCAGUAGCUAAUGGCUAACUAGCUACUUACGACUCGUUCAAGGAAAGUCGGAGGCCAUUACGAGCACCACAAUCAUGUGCGGAGACUGCGCACGUGGUCCGCAGCAUGGCCCUCGAGUCCACGUUGGGACAAUGGAACCCCUUGUGUUCUCUUGAGGGAAUGGUAGAGUUAAUGUGGCUUGUCUUGGAGCAGGAGACGUGUAAGCCAUUAACAGCGUGGCUCCUUUCUACGAAGGAACCCUGCAUCAUUCAGGUUUCCCUCAAAGACAUGAAGAUGCAGUCAUUGGAGUCCAAUGUGGUGCAAAAUGAAUACCACGGAGAGACUUCAACUAAUACAACUCAAUUUAUUGAACAUUAAGUUGUCCAAUAAAGUCAUAUUUGUAGUGGAAUGUUUUGUUUUCAUUUAUAUUGUAACUGUAUGCACUGUCUUUGAACCAGCAGAGCCCUCUCCAUGGCUCUGUAGGCCAAGCUACAGCUGCAAGAACAAAUCAAAGGCUUGUUAUAACUGGGGUUACUUGGCAUUUCAUCCCAAGUUUCUCUUUUAAAUGCAACUCACAUCUACUCACUAAUAUUUGUCAUGUGUGUAUUCUGAGCUUUAAUCUGAAUACUUGAUGAUUUUGAAGUACCAUUCCCUAAUUUUAAAGCUACAAGGAAUAAACCAGUAGUAUUGUUAUAGGCAGAUUAAAUCAACUUUUUUUUUUUUAGCUCUGCAUACUAUUUAUUCAGUGACAUUUGAACCUGUUGUGUGAUCUGUGCAAAUGUCCCUAUAACUCAAAAGCACAAAGUCACAAUGGCCCAAACAACCACUCAUUAGUUUGAAUGAGCCUAGGAUGAGGUACUGUUGUCAAAGCACGACUAGUUACAUGCAAGCACUGUUUUAUUGAUCAGAACAGUAGUGACAUCGCUCAACGCAACUGAAAUUCCAGAUUAUAUAUUUUUCCCAUCACUGCAAAUGUAAUGAUCGGUAGCGUAUGAGGAAAGAACCUAUGACAUGCCCUCACACGCACACAUGACUUGACUUAGCUGUAAACAUUUGACUAGAAUUUCUUGUUAUUCAAGUGGCAUUUUGCCUCACAAACAUUUGAACAAAGUUGUGGCAGACAACCCAAGUCACCGGUAAAAAGUUAUUGGCAAAUUUCAUGAAUCUGAAAAGUUUCAAAACCAUCUGCGCCAGUCAUUGCUUGAUAUUUGAAAUGGUUUAUUUUUCAUAUGUACAUAGCAUGAAGUCAAGACAGGAAAUUGAUAAAGAAAAGCAGUCAUAUUUACUGAAUGGCUCAUGUUUCCAUUGGUUGAGCGGUAUGGCUAACAUAAAUUAUGGCUGUUUGAAUCACCAGCUGCAGGCGUCUAAAUAUGUUCAGAAUCUGAGUGUGUGAAAGCUGUAACGUGUCCUAGCUGGUGAACGUGGUCUACGAUAGCGGUGCUGAUCAGUCCUUCCGAUGGGUGUCUGACAAUGAAGUAAUGUAGCGCAGUGGUGCUCCAAAGAGGAAACUCAUAGCUUUGGCAGUAACUAAGCAUGCCUUGUCUGGACCACAGGGCAGGAGCCUUUCUCCUGUUUCUGUAUUGUGAGACUUGCUGUACAAGUUCACCCCCUGAGUAAGACACCAGAUUUGCCAGUUGCUGGUACAAAAAAGGUUGAGAAACAGUUUUAAAAAGAGGUGUGUGUGAAAGUGCUGCUUGGCCUAUAAGACGAGACAAAUGCAUUUGAACUCCGGAAAUAUCUCCUACCACUGCCAAAGUAAUGACUAGAUUCAAUCAGAUCAAGCAUUUACCAGGGAUAGAUGAUACCCGCAAAGCUAAUGUUUUGGAGGUGUAACUUGAAGCUGUGAAAUCGGUGAGCAGCUGCUCUUGUGAUCAUUGUCACAAAGCCACACAUUAGAAGUUCAGAAUGAGAAAGUAUAGUCUAUAUAGAAAUAAUGACACUCAAAUUGAAAAUCAUUCAAAAAAAAAAGAUCAUUUCUAACAGCCUAAUUAAGGUGUAGAAAACAUCGCACAUUCCAAUGUUCGAACUUGUAAACGGGUCUGCAUAGGAUUUCUCUUAAUGCGACUCAAAACACAAUGGCAAUGUCUGCUUUAGGUAUAAUUCCAGAAGCCGCUUGUGGAUUUGACUGCUCUAAUGCAGUUCCACCAGCAAAACAACCAGUAUGCAGAUGUCGCUUAAAGCGGAUCUGAUUGAAUCGAGCCCUAAGUCAGCAGUCUCUUAGGGACCCAGUUAGGGAACUGCCUGCUUUACAGGUACAUUCAUUAGGCCUUCUGUCUACACUACACACACCUCUUUUGACAUCAUAGCUGUAAGACUUGUGACAAUACAUAGAUUUAUGGUUGGUAUUUGUACAUGUGGUUUGACUUCAGAAUGGCUGAGGCAAUGGUGGACAGAAGACACUGAAGGCCCUAUGCAUUUGAUGAAAGCUCCCAAGCUAUACAGUCAGUAACUACUAUAUAUAGCCUUCAUCUGUGACUUACUCGGGUUUCAUACCCAUGCCACAAGAGUGUGAGCACGCUGAGCUAAAGCAUAGACAUCUUGAGGAUCCAACACACAUUUUCAGGUCUCAGGCAAGGGUAUUCAGUAACUACCACAUGCAGUUUGAGUUGUUUUGGGGGUAGGAUGGUAUUGUUGACUGAUGCACAGUGGCGUUGACCUGUUUGCAUAAGGAAUGCCACGCGAUGGAUGGGGAGGGGGCGGAGAGAGGGAUAGACAUUGUCUCACAAUGCCCAUAUGUGCAUUAGAUGAUGAAGCAUGUGACAAAUCACACACACACAGCCUUCUCUCUAUGACCAUCUACACCCAUUCUUUUUUCAUGGGUUUCGGGUCUGAAAGUCAAUGGAAAAAGAAAUGCAGGGCAUAUCAUGGAAUUUGAUUAGUACACACGUUUGGUGUAGCUGCUGUAUAUCACAGGUAGUGUGGUUCUUCAGUUUACACUGCAUGGCAAUUUGUCUGACCACACACACACUUACAAUCCAAAUGGUCUGUGAAUCCAUGACCUGUCUGAUUGACACCGUCCUCGGAUUAAUAUUCCCUCAAACCAAUGAUGCAGUAUUUCCCAGCCAAGUGAGAAGUAAGCAGGCUGUCUCUCUCCAUCUCUGCCUUUCUUCACUUCCUGGUAGAGGAUCCACAGUCUGGAGUGGCUGUGAGAUUGGCCCACUGUCCUGAGGGGAGGGCAGUAAGCCCCGCCCACUGCGACGCUGGCACCAGUGGUUACUGGGAUGUCAGGUCGCCAGUGACUUAUCCUUAGCAACACCCCAGAAACAGAGAGUCUUGUUGUCUUCACACGUCAAAGAGUUCAGGCUCCGAGAGGUCUGGGUCCCUCAAGGCAUCGGUCGAUGUUGUCACAGUAGCCAGGUUGGCAUUAGAACGGGUGUCCAUGGCAGAGUGCAUGAUGGGUAGCCAGAGGUCAUCCAUGUUUGGCAUCACAAAUAUUUUCUGUGAGAACAAAAACGAGAACUUGAGUAACUAGGAGUAAAACAGAAAACACUUCAAGCUAAAGGUGUGCCACUAAUAUUUAUUACAUUUCUGAUAAGCCUUUUGUCUGUGCAUGUUUGACAAGAACACAAAUCUUAGUUUAUCACUUGAAUGCUGAACGAGGUGCUUUGGUCUAGCUGGUAUCACAAAAUAGCAAUUUAUAGUAGUUAUACAGUAUGUGUUUCUGUGAAAACAACAAACAGGCCUCAACACCAGUUACAGCAGAAAGGCAGAUUUCGGACAAAAACCCAGGAGACUGCAGUCAAUCUUAUUCUGUGUGAUUGGAUUUGGGGAUUGUCUGGAGUCUGGUAUUUUUGGGAAGCCAUACAUAGUCACUCACAACUGAUGUGUGCGUACUUCUGUGCCUGAGUGUGUGUGGUAAGGAUAAUAAUAAUGUAGCGAAGUCUCAAACAGGGAUACAUAUAGUUCUACUUCGUAGCCUGGCAGAAUAACUGAGUUGUGAACAGGUGUGCCUCAGGGCAGAGUUCUAGGAGCAGCCUGAUCAUUAUAUGAAGACUGAGAGCCACAAGCAUACUGUCUUUGAAGUACAGCUUGGUGGGCUGCGGUAAAUACAUCACACACCACUCUUCUGUUGUCCCAGUCCCAUCAUUGUCUAACACUGGGAAGACAUUCACUUUGUUGACAAGGGAAGAGAUGCAAAGCUAAGAGAAAUGGAAAGCUUUCGAUACAUAUUGAACAAAAGAUACAUUCAUGUGAUGAUAUGAUUAAUCAAAUUGUAUUAACAAAUAGGUAGGGGGACUUAGAUCUUUCUGACCAGGAAAGACUAUAGAGCCCAGAGAUGUUCCCAGGCAGAUCCCAUGUUCAGGGAAAGCUCAGUCCAAGCUCCUGGAUUUCAGAUCACACAAUACAGUUAUUACAUAAUCCAAGUAGAGAGCUGUUAAUGCUCUACUCUCCCUGUUCUCAGCGUACCUGAAACUCCUGAUCCAGUUUCUUCUCGAUCCAGUCGGUGACGUGGGCCAGCGUGACCUCCCUCUCACCCAGCUUGGGCCGGGCUUUCAGCUCCAAGUGGGGGGGACUCCUGAAGCCAUACCUGGACGGGGAAGGUUCCCUAUGUUACACCCAUUGGCUUAAUGUAUCCUAAUAUCCUGGGGAAGGUUUCUCUUAUACCCGUUGAACUAGUAAGCUACUAGUCUAGUCUUCCUUUUUAUAAUGCUUUGACUCCUCUACUUCAUAUUACCAGCAGAGGACAUGUGGGCUACUGUGUCAACAAGCCAGGCUAAGCCCUUCUGUAUCUCUAUAGCUGAAUAACAUACAUAUUCACACUGGAUAUUCAAUAUUCAGACCUUGCCCCUGGAGUGGAAUGUACCAAAUUCUGUCUGCGGGGGUAGGUGCUAAGUAUACUGUAUGAGGGUGAUGGGGCGUUCUAUAUCCUAAUGGUGGGGGGAGGUGGUAUGUAACUGUAUGAAGGUAUUGUGACGUACCAUUAUCCUGUCAGUGAGGGGAGGUGGGAUGGAUGGAACGUACCAUAACCUGUCGGUGGGUGGGGGUGGUAUGUUGACAGCCAGCAUCCCGCGGCACUCCAGCACCUCCACGGUGAGAAGCAGUGGCGUGUUGGACACCUCCUCGAUCUUCUUCUUGAUAAACUCUGUCUCCGUGGCCUUCUGGAAGUACUUAGACUUGGCGAUCUUGUCCACAAACCUCAUGAUCUUACUGGGCCGGUGGCCUCCGACAAAACUGUGAGGGAAGAGGAGGAGAUGAAAUAAUAGGAGGAAGAAGAAGGAGAGAGGACAAAGAGCAGAAAGAGGAGAUGGAGAACGAGGGAGAGGAGGGGAAGUGAAGGAGGUGAAAGAGGUGUCGGAAAAGGAAGAGGAGGGACAUGUCCAUGGGGAUUUCUGGGGGAUCCUCUUCGUCAGACGAUCCAGCACUGGAGGACUCUUCGUCACUGUCUGCCAGGCAGUAGGCCCGAGGUCUGGGCCUUUACACACACAAAACAUGAGAACAAAGGGGAUGAGUAUUAGUCAGCUUUAAGAAAUGGAAGUGGAAAACAGAUGAAAAUUAGUAUGAGCAAUUGUCUGUUAUUGGGGAGCGGUGUUGGCAGCAUUUGUGCCUAGGAAGCCCUCAGCAAAUCCAGUCUGGACACAGCAGUUCGUUCCGACGGUCAAAGCUGACACUCCUUCAGUCCUGAACGGGGACUAACAUGUACCCUAGACUAAAGCCUAAAGGACUCCCAUGUGGUACAGCAUGAGAAGUCAUGUUUCUGCUCACAAGGCCAUGCCCACUGUUUGCAGAGGGAGUUUCUUCCCUUUUCGUCAAACCAAGUUCACUCCGAAGAGGAUUCGCUGAGCAGCUCAAAGACUAUCAUCAAAUCCUCUGUUAAACAUUCCCAGAACGAUUGAUCCCUCAGAGGCCUCGGCUGGGAAAUAGCCUGGUCAGUGGUCACCAACCGGUUGAUCACGAUUGACUGGUCGAUCUCCAAGGCAUUCCUAGUAGAUCACCAAACAUUUCUGUAAAAAAAACAAUAAUAAAGCCUUGUGUUCCCUUUU